UUUUAUUUUUCCAAAUUUGCUCCUGUUUCUCAGUUUCUCUCUCCUCCUGUUUCAAUCUCAGCAGCUCCUUAGUCUCUCUCCCUCCAUUUUCGUUCUCCUUCGUGGUUCUCUCUCUUGCUGCAACCACCGCGCCGCCACCAUCUCCAAGCUUCCAUCAUCUACGCGUCGUCUUCUCUGCUGCAAUUUCUUCGAUUUUGAUGUUUGCAUCUGGAUAAUGCUGCAACACUUAAUUAUUCAUUUGAAUUUGCAAUAAUCGAGCUUAAAAUUUAAGGCGCAUGACAUAUGCAAUGACUCAAAUAGACAAAUCAUAGAUGCUGGAGAUUUGUUUAAUGCACUAGAGGAAGUUGAGUUUUCCGAGUUUGUUGAUCCACUCAGAGCUGCCCUUGAUGAAAGAUGACAAAUAUCGCUGUAGUGAAACUAGAUAUCAUAUUCCUUUCAAGUGUAUCAGAAGUGGAAAUGUAACAAAGGAAGCAAGUGGUAAAGUUCUCGAAAACAACCAUUCUACUCAAGAAGGAUCUGUUAAUGCAGAUAAUGCUGCAGCAAAAGUCCAACUUGAUAAUGGCAUGGUGUUUGAGGCAAUGCAGAUCCAAGUGGUGGUGUCGUUAAGGUGGUGAAUAUAUAUGAUAUUGAGGACGAUGUCGAAGAUGAAGAUGAUGCGAGAUUGUAUAUGGGAGCAAAUGUUGUGUGUAUUGAUUGAGAUUUGUGUAUUUCUUUAAGUAAUUUAUGGUGAAAUUAUUAAUUUUCGGUAUUUAAGAACGUUCUAAAAAUACUUUUAUUGUUAGUUUGAGAACAUUGAUAAACAUGUCAUAUAAACAAGAUUUUUUUUAUUAUUUUAUUAUAUUAUUAA